rnacentral:pre_miRNA from 1 species
AGAGUGGAGUUAGAGCCAAGAAUGACUUGCCGACUUGGCCAUGAGAAUGCUCAAAAACGACGGGUUGCCUGCCGGUCGGCAAGUCGUUCUAGCUCUUCUUUGCUCUCU